rnacentral:lncRNA from 1 species
CUGGUGCAGUGGACAGCCCAGCCAAAAACUUAAGCUUAUGAUGACAAAGCACAGAGAGUAUGCGGAGAGUCCCUGAGGAAUUCAAUGGUACAGACAGAAUGCCCCAACUUUCUGUGAUAGCAAGAACAAGUCUGUCGACCCUUGAAGUAUACAUGCAGUAUCCAGACCUCCAACCAGGAGCACCCAAAGAGGGACAUGUAUUCAAGAAACCAGCUAAUCCUAGGGGAAUGAGAAAAAUAAGUCUUCAAUUAUAGUAUAUACAGAUACCUUUUUACUGAAAAUUCACAAGAGUAUUUUAUCCAUUAGCAACCUUUUGCUGCCUGUUAAGGCUAUUUUAAUUAUUAGAUGAUCCUAAAGUCUGAACAAGAUUAAACAUUCAGUCAGUGGUUUAGGAAGACUACCAGGUAUGUGUGUGUGUAUGUAUUCAUAUAUGUACAUAUAUACAAAUAUAUUUGCAUAUAUAAACACAUAAAGAUGGCAGACACAUACAAAUAAAAUUAUAAACACAUUCUUGGUGUUGGGAUUAUAUGUAUUAGAUGUCACUGAAUAGGUAUUAUGUGUUAAUCAAAAAUCUUUAUCUGAUGUACUUACUGAAGUAUUUAUGAGUAAAAUAGUUUGCUAUCUUGAGUUUCCCUUAAAAUAUUUUACCAAAAGUAAAUACAUAACUUUAAAAUAUGUUGGAGGAUUUAAAAGCAUAACCAAAUUAAAAAUUAUUGUUGAAGCUAACUAGCAUAUGAUUUAUAACUUUCUUGUUAAUUUUUGGGUUUGAAAAGGCCCCAAUCAUCAAAGUUGUACACAUCACUAUGUAAAUUAUUAGGAUUUUUUUUCACAUUUUUAAUGUGAAAACCUUAGUAUUUUAUCAUAUUUUUGUCAUCACAUUCUUCUCUUAGUUUCUUUCUCUUAUCAGAGAAGAACAGAUGAAUGUGUCUGUGCAUAAAUAAUAGAGAGAGGCUCAAAUUCCUGUUGAGUGGUUACAAAUCAUUUAAUAACAUUUUCCCCAGCUGAUUGCCACACCCAGCACAUGAGCAGGGUGUGAAGGGCAGCAAGUGGCCUGGCAGAGGCCCAGGGUUCUGAGAAUCAAAAGCUAAUACUGUUCUCUCCUGGAGUCUCCUAUUUUUCCUGUGGGUGGGUUAUGAAAUACUUUGGUUCCACUUGAGCCCCACUGGAAGGAAGGCAGAUACACUCUGACUUGAAAUGUUUUUUGAAGCUCAUUUUCCUGUUUUUCAAAAGGGAAAUGGUAAAAUGUGCAUAAAAUAUCUUUUGCUACAAUCAAUUUGAAUAUCCCUGAUUUCAUCAAUAUUUAAUAUUUGUGAUGUCUUUAACAGUGGUUUAGAACACCUGUUUAAAUCAAGGUUUGAAUUUGUCAAUCAAGCUGACAGUUCUGAAAAAGAUCACAGAAGUUUUCUGACAUGUUUCCNNNNNNNNNNNNNNNNNNNNNNNNNNNNNNNNNNNNNNNNNNNNNNNUUCCCUACAGUCUAGACCUGGCAAUAUCUUUCCCUUUUGAUUUGCAAUUUAGCUCAAUGAUUAUGCAUUAGUAACUUAUUAAUAUCCAAGUAUAAAGUUUUUCAAUAUAUUAGACAUCCUUACAUUUCUACUUGAAAAAGUAUUGUUCUUGAUAUAUCUAGCCAUUUAUUGCUUGAAUAAUUAUUGGUGCUUGUGCUAGGCACUAGUACAGAAAUGUCAGGAACAGCAAGGAAUAAGAUGGAG